rnacentral:rRNA from 1 species
UACGUAGGGUGCAAGCGUUGUCCGGAAUUAUUGGGCGUAAAGAGCUCGUAGGCGGUCUGUCGCGUCGGCUGUGAAAACCCGAGGCUCAACCUCGGACUUGCAGUGGGUACGGGCAGACUAGAGUGUGGUAGGGGAGACUGGAAUUCCUGGUGUAGCGGUGGAAUGCGCAGAUAUCAGGAGGAACACCGAUGGCGAAGGCAGGUCUCUGGGCCAUUACUGACACUGAGAAGCGAAAGCAUGGGGAGCGAACAGG